rnacentral:rRNA from 1 species
AGAAAAAUCGAUUUCCUGAGUAGCGGCGAGCGAAACGGAAAGAGCCCAAACCAAGAAGCUUGCUUCUUGGGGUUGUAGGACACUCUAUACGGAGUUACAAAAGAAAGUUAUAAAUGAAGCGGUCUGGAAAGGCCCGCCAAAGACGGUAACAGCCCGGUAGUUGAAAUAGCUUUCCCUCCAGAGUGGAUCCUGAGUACGGCGGAACACGUGAAAUUCCGUCGGAAUCCGGGAGGACCAUCUCCCAAGGCUAAAUACUC